CCCCCAUAAUACGCUCACUUGGGGACUUCUUACUCCAGCUGUUCCAAAAGUGUCCGCUAGUUGAACCCCGUCCAGUACGCUAAGUAUUGCCCAGCCCAUCCACUGGGGCUCUUCUGCAUCACCAGCUGGUAUCUUUUACUGUUGUGCUCCUGGGUAUCGCACGCCGCUUCGAAGUGAACCAGAAGUUGAGGAAUGGGGAAGCUUUUCAAAACAUAAGCAACCAAUUUCUCGAUUCCUCCGGCCACCCCGAAGCGCUCUCUCUCUCUCUCUGAUUGGUGUUGUUGUUGUUGUUUCAAAACCAGGUGGGUAAUUUAGGUCUCUGAAGAUUGAGGCUUGGAUAAGGUAGAAAGGAGGUCAGUUAUGGUUAUAGUUUUUAAUCAACAAAGUUAUGAUUAAAUGCUGUGAUUACUUAGUUGGAAUGCCAAUGCUCCAAUGCAUAUAAUGGCAUGAAGUUAUGAACUAAUGGCUUUUCAAGUGUGGUAUGGUGCUUUUGAUGCUUAUAUAAUAGGCGUCCGGCACACAUGCGCAAGCCUGCAUGUUCUCUCUCAAUAACGAACUUCCUUAUUGUUUUUUGUCUUCACUCUUGAGGUUUUGUUCCUUACUCAUUACGUAGAUUCAUUGACUAAUGUAUAUUCGUUUUGUCUGAUAACAAGGAACAAGGCAUUCCAACAGAUUUUAUGAUGAGUAUCUAGUCAGAGUCACAUAAAAAUGGAAAGGGGGGUCAGAGCUGCAAAAAGAUGAAAAUGGGGGUCAGAAUCACAGAAAGAUGGAAAUGGGAGAUGCAAAAUCUCAAAUGGGACUUCUAGUAAAGAUGCUAUACUAAUGGAAAGAUCCGGCAGCACAAUUGACGGUAACGAGAUAUUAGCUCUGGUGGAAUGAUUAAAUUAUAUCGUUCCUUAUUUAAGAUUGCCGACGGAUGCUUCUGAGGAGGAAAUCAGAGCGUGCUUAAUUGAUGGCACAGUUUUAUGCAGAAUACUAAAUAGGCUGUGUCCGGUUCAGUUGAAAUGGGAGGGAGUUCAGACCCUGGUUUUGCAAAUGUCAAAAGGUUUCUGGUGGCUGUGGGGGAGUUAGGAUUCCCUCCGUUUGAGCUUUUGGACCUAGAGCAGGGAUCUUUGGUGCCAGUUAUACGGUGCCUUAGUGCACUCAAAACUUCAUUUGAUUUUGGUUUUUGGGAAGAGAACACAAAAAAUGAAACAAAGACAGGAGGGGAGUUGUUGGAGAUAGAAUAGUUGAGGAAAAUUUAUCGUAAUCAAUCAUUCAAGAGAUAUGGACAACAGGAUACUCAAAAUACAGAAGGGACACAGGGAAAUUCAGAUGACUCAACUUCUGAAGUGACAGUUGGCAUGCCUCAUCAAACUAAUUGGAGAAAUACGUUAUUCUGGGCAUAAGAGUUUAGGACGGAAUUCAGUAAAUAGGUGACCUGAUUUUGUUUGAGACUGUAUUUGUUCAUGCUGUUCUCGCAUACAAAUUUUUGAUAUGUUAAUACAUUACCUUUUGUUUUCUUUCCCCACCACGUCUUUAGUUCCACCAGCUCUUCUAGAACAAUUGAAGCAGGGGACUAAUGUGGAUCUCUGUGAUGUCAAGAUUUUGUGAUCAUAGUCUAAUUGCUUUAGUGGUAUCAUCCUCAUCAAUUUACGAACGGAACCACUUGUGAUCUUACAAACCAGCCUCGAGAGACUGAAAUAUGAAGCAAUGAACUUUAUUUAGUUUUCAUUUUUCUGUUCCCAUCCCUCUUCUCCUUACUUUAUAUGCAUUUUGCAGGUGAGAUUUGUAUGCUAAGAGCCGAGAGCUAUGAUUAAUUCAGUUACUGAGAUAUCCACCUGCAAGUAUGCAGUUGCUAUUAAAUGCCCCACACUUUGCAAGCAUCCGUAAGCCUCUAUCUCUUUCCCCCUCUAUCUCUCUAUUUAGCGAAUCUAAUGGCUACUUUCAACCAACAGAUUAUUCCAAGCUGAGAGACCGGUACGGCAGACCAUUAAUUGUAAUGUGCUUCCCAAGGAUUACAGGGAAACCCAAGUUGAGGAUGAAGAAUCUAAAAUUAAGCAGAUAGUUAUGGUCACAGAGUGAAUCUCAUUCCAAUGAUGAAUCUGAUAAGUAACAUUUUAUAAAUUCAGAAAAUUUUGUGAAUACUAAUGAUAGCCAACCUUAUGUAAUCUUUCACAAGU